rnacentral:lncRNA from 1 species
AUUUUAUUAUUUUAUUAUUUUAAAAUUUUAAAAUUUUAAAUUUUAAAUAUAGAUACUAAAUUUAAAAUUUUAAUUUUUACAAUAUCAAAUUUAAAGUUUCAAAUUUUAAAGUUUUAAAUUUAAAAUUUAAAAUAAAUUUAAAAAUUAAAAAUUAAAAAUUAAAAAUGUUAGAAUUUAAAAUUAAAAAUUAAAAAUUAUAAGUUUAAUUUUUAAAAUUAUAUGUUUCAAAUUUUAAACUUUAAUUUUAAAAUUUUAAAUUCUAAAUAAAAAGGAAUAUAUUAAUAAUUAUAUAUUAAUUAGUAAUAAUAUUUAGGAACAAGUGCUGCUAAUUUACUAUAUUUAGCAGCAUUUACUAAUUUAUGCUGCUAAUUUAUCUUAUUUUGUAAUAUUAAUAGUAAAUUGUUGCUAAAUAAUUAAAUCUAGCAACAAUAUUUAUCAAGUAAUGCUGCUAAAUAUAUUAAUUAGCAUGAUUUAAAUAAAUAUUGCGGAGCAAAUAUUAUGGCAUUUAGCGUGCUGCUAUUUUAUUACAUUUAGUGUUAUUUUUUUUAUAAAAUACUGAAAAUUUCAGUAGCAUUCACUAAAUUAUGCUGCAAAUUUAUUCUAUUUUGCAAAAUUAAUUGUAAAUUGCUGCUAAAUUAUUAAAUCUAACGGCACUUAUCAAGUAAUGUUAUUAAAUAUAUUAAUUAGCAUUAUUUAAAUAAAUAUUGUGGAAUAAAUGCCACUAAAUUAUGAAUUUGUUGUAGUGCUCGCGAUACUACGAAUGGAUAUUUUGCUUAGACGUCGUAAAGAAUAUAAAAAAUUUCUUAUAGGAUUACUUGGUACAACAAUCAAUAGCAUAAUUAUCUGUACUUGUAUAUACAAAUUAAUUUUUUUUUAUAAGUAUCGCGUAAAGGCGGACUUACAAAUUCAUAACCUAAUGGUCGUACAACCGAUGAAGUUAAAAGAUUCUUGAGUAAAAAAGAUACAAAUUAUAUAUUUUUUAAAUAUACAUACGGUAGAUAAUUUGAAAUAAACAAAUCAGUAAUUAGAGGAACGAUUGCGGCAAAAUGGAAUCAGAUGAAAAAUAAGUGAAAUCAGUGGAAUCAGAGAAACUACUGCAGCCAAGUGGAAUAUGGUCUUCUUACAGGAACAUAUGAUCAUGUACAGUAAAAAACGAUGGAUGUCUUAAUAUAUAGGCAUUUACAUAAAGCGAAAAAGAUACAGGAACAACAUAUGAUCAUGUACAGUAAAAGACGAUGAAUGUCUUAAUAUAUAGGCAUUUACAGAAAGGGAAAAGGGCAUAGAAUAAUUUUUCAUA